AACAGAUUUAGAAACAGGCCUGCUUUACCAGUGGGUCUGCCAGCCUUAGGCUUUUCACUGGCAAGUGACCAUGAUGACCACAAGCACCAUGCCCCACCCCGAGGCAGGUUCUCCUGCACAUUUUUCCCUUAGGCUGGAAAUCCAGCUCGCUUAUAUAACAAGCUUCAUUGCAACACUCUCCUUCAAGCCAGAGGGACUCUGGACUAUUCCCAUUUCUCUGGCUCCACAGCAGGCACUCCCAGCUUCCUGUGAAUUUGGUGAGCCAUCUGACCGUGUCUGCCAAGCCUCUCCUUUCUGGGCAGGAAGGCAUCUUUCAGAACGUGAGAGGACAACUGGCCUUGAGACAAUCGAAAAGAAUAGCAAUGAAGAGAACAACCUGGCAGAGAGUACACCGCAGAGAAAGGAAAUGGGGCUUCAGCUGCCUCAACAGUGUGCCUGCCUGGAUUCUCAAAGACGGAAAAGCAGCAGCAGCAAGGAGGGACGUCAGAGUCCAUGA
rnacentral:lncRNA from 1 species